CCCCGUACCACCAUUCCUCCCUCUCCCUCGACCUCCCUUGUCUAGGGUUCCCCGCUACCACUGCGGCAGCCGCCGCCGAAUCCUAGGUCGCCGCACACCGUCGCCGCCGCCGCGAAUCCCCAGGGACGCCGCACGCCACCGCCGUCGCGAAUCACCAGAGACGCCGCACGCCGCCGCCGCGGAUCCCCAGGGAUGCCACCGCCACCGCCGCGGAUCCCCAAGGGCGUGGUCGCGUUGUACUAGACAAAGUGUGGUCGCCGCCGUCCUCUCCUCGUCCGACCUUGACAUCAUCCCUUCGACUCCGGUGACUCCUCUGUGGCCCGGGCGGCCCUGGCCGACGCCGUCACAGCCAACGCCGGCCUCACCUCUGCGGCCUCACGCACUGCCGCCGCCGAGGAGCCGACCUGAUAAGUUUGAACCAUCCCUUGAUCCCUCGAGUCUUCUGCAUCCCUUGAUGGCUCGAUUCCUUGUCUUCUCUAUCUAUCAAUCCCUCGCAUCCUUGCAUGCUACGAAGAGAAUGGUUCCCUUUCUACAGGGUCUGGUGUGAAAGAGUUGGAGCAAGGAGGACGUGUGCGGCCACUUCGCGCUUCGGCGAGAUCCUCAAGGUUGUCAUCGCAGACAAGGGCACUGGAAGAUCCAAGGGCGGCGGAUUCGAAGCGGAGGCGGCCAUUAGGGCGUGCUUGGGUCCGUACCCGGUGAUUGACGGCCGGAGGGCCAACUGCAACCUCGCCUGCCUCGAGGUCCAAGGCGCCACAACGAAAACGCCCGCCUUGAUACUCAGCUUCAAGGGAUGUGUCCUGCCACGGGUAGUACCAUCACACCGGCACAAUGAACUCCCGUGCAACCCAGCAUCCGCAUUGAGACAUCUUUCUUGGCGCUGCCAUUGCUGCCGUACUCUGACAGUCCAUGCAUUGACGCAUCGAUUCAGAAGGUGAGCCCCAGCGACGGCUCCGGAAGAAGGGAUUGGCUGGAGCUGAUUUGGGACGCCCAGUCGGGGAGAGCAGGGAGGAGGAGCAUCGAUGAUAUUCCUCCCGUCCCAUAGCCAAAGGGAGUGUCAGCGCACGCAGCGGCGGCACAUCUUGCGGCAGCAAUUGACGUAUCGUACCAGGCGGCUGUGUAGCUGGUGAAGUGGUACAUCUGAAGAUUCAUCUGCAGUUAGGGUGUCCAUGUUGAACGGAGACGCCGAUGGUUGCCCUUCAAGCACCAACAAAUUGGAAAUUCCAAGCCCUGCUGAGAUUACGAGCAGAGUGGAAAGGGAAUCAACACCAUCACGCCAAAACAUUGAAGGAGCAAUCCAAGAGCUAAAAACUACAGUGAUCUCACUAUCCACCAAGUAUUGUUAUUUUCUCUACCUACGUCCUAAUCAGUUGUUUAUUACAUAUUGUGAUAUUGGUACAAAGGCUGCCACAAAAGAUGAGCAUGUCUGGAUCAGCAAUAUGUCAGGCCCUAGCAGAGCUUGAACCUUCUUCAGCAAAUAAGGGUCACUGAGUUCUUAUAGUCAGUCACUGGACCACAAUGGUUGAUAUCCUUCAAUGGACACUGGAAGUAAUAUGAGCUACAGAUAUGCGUCUCAAUGAGGGGUUAUUUCUUUCCUCAACAAGUUACAGUACAGUAGCAAAGGUUGGAACAGUUUUUAUGGUGAUAGUUUACAACUUCUUGUGGGGUUUAUGUCUCCCUCAUGGAGCAUCACCAAGUUGUUUCACAUCAGCUAUGACCAUUCUCCUGCAGCAGUGGCACCACGGUUGGAAGGGAGAUAUAUCCAACGGAGAUGGGCAGACGGUCAAGGUAUUCGAGCACUUGGUGUUUACUCCAUCCAGAAGGUUGUCCUUGAAUAAUUAAUAAACUGGCUGCAUGCAUCGCCUAGAUGCAGAGGCCGGGGGUAAUCCUCCUUUUCUAAAAAAAUAAUCCAGAAGGUUGUCCUACCCAUAGAAACCUCUGUGGGAAGACUCCAUUCUGGUCGGCACCACCACUCCAUCUGUGCAGCCACAACGGAUUGCACAUGUUAGCCAUUGUUCCUCAUCUACUGUAGAUAUGGUAGAGUGCAGUUCUUAUUGUCGAAUGUGGAUAUGCUAAUUUUCCAUGCAUUGAGUUUUCAUUAGAGCUAUGGAUUUUGCUUCAUAGGCUGAUAAGAGCAACUUAAAUUAACAAGUCGGCAACCUUUGAAUGUGUAGACCAGAAUGAGAAGAUUGUUGCCCCGAGCUAACAAAUCUCUAUAUCCAACAUGCACUUAUACGAUUUCCUACUAUAGACUUCAUGUUUUGUUUAUGUCUCCGUGAUACUAUUUUUGCCUUUCCUCUUUCGUCUACUUUUUUCAUUGAUCCACAAUCAGGUAAUAAAACUUGCAUGAAUAUAGAUGCAAAAAUCUCAUCACUCAUUGGUACACUGAUGCUGCUGGCAGCUUAACAACCUUCUGUUCACUCAUGGGACUUCUAGGAUCCAUGAUGUAUGCUUAAACAUUAAACUGUGAGUGCCUACUGGCAAGGCAACCAAGAUUUUAGGCCUUUAUAGUUUGAUCAGAUGGAGUUUUUUGUGUGGCUAAAGCGUCUUGUUAUGUAACUAAAAAGAUGAUGAAGUUACUGUUGAGGGCAGAACCAUGCAGAGAAGAGGUUGCAAGAGAAGAAGCCACAUAAGAAUUUCUCUACUUUUUUAAGGCUCUUGUACUGUGUUUAUUGUCCUGAGUUCUUGAAUAGGAUUAUGUACUAUGUAUAUUAUUCUAUUAACAAG